UCAGCUUGUUGGUGAGGUAGUGGCUCACCAAGGCGACGACGGGUAGCCGGCCUGAGAGGGCGACCGGCCACACUGGGACUGAGACACGGCCCAGACUCCUACGGGAGGCAGCAGUGGGGAAUAUUGCACAAUGGGCGAAAGCCUGAUGCAGCGACGCCGCGUGAGGGAUGACGGCCUUCGGGUUGUAAACCUCUUUCAGCAGGGAAGAAGCGAAAGUGACGGUACCUGCAGAAGAAGCGCCGGCUAACUACGUGCCAGCAGCCGCGGUAAUACGUAGGGCGCAAGCGUUGUCCGGAAUUAUUGGGCGUAAAGAGCUCGUAGGCGGCUUGUCACGUCGGUUGUGAAAGCCCGGGGCUUAACCCCGGGUCUGCAGUCGAUACGGGCAGGCUAGAGUUCGGUAGGGGAGAUCGGAAUUCCUGGUGUAGCGGUGAAAUGCGCAGAUAUCAGGAGGAACACCGGUGGCGAAGGCGGAUCUCUGGGCCGAUACUGACGCUGAGGAGCGAAAGCGUGGGGAGCGAACAGGAUUAGAUACCCUGGUAGUCCACGCCGUAAACGGUGGGCACUAGGUGUGGGCAACAUUCCACGUUGUCCG
rnacentral:rRNA from 1 species